rnacentral:rRNA from 1 species
AGUGAACGCUGGCGGCGUGCUUAACACAUGCAAGUCGAACGAGAAACGGAUUUAGCUUGCUAAAUUGCAGUCUAAGUGGCGCACGGGUGAGUAAUGUAUAGGUAAUAUGCCUCUUACUAAGGGAUAACAAUUGGAAACGAUUGAUAAUACCUUAUAUGCCUUUAAUACGAAAGUAUGCAAGGGAAAGAUUUAUUGGUAAGAGAUUAGCCUGUAUGGUAUCAGCUUGUUGGUGAGGUAAUGGCUCACCAAGGCUAUGACGCCUAACUGGGUUGAGAGGAUGAUCAGUCACACUGCAACUGAGACGCGGUCCAGACCCCUACGGGAGGCAGCAGGGGGGAAUAUUGCACAAUGGACGAAAGUCUGAUGCAGCAACGCCGCGUGGAGGAUGACACAUUUCGGUGCGUAAACUCCUUUUAUAUAGGAAGAGAAUGACGGUACUAUAUGAAUAAGCACCGGCUAACUCCGUGCCAGCCGCCGCAGUAA